rnacentral:rRNA from 1 species
UACAGAGGGGGCAAGCGUUGUUCGGAAUUACUGGGCGUAAAGGGCGCGUAGGCGGCCCGCUAAGUCGAACGUGAAAUCCCCGAGCUCAACUCGGGAACUGCGUCCGAUACUGGCGGGCUUGAAUCCGGGAGAGGGAUGCGGAAUUCCAGGUGUAGCGGUGAAAUGCGUAGAGAUCCGGAGGAACACCAGAGGCGAAGGCGGCAACCUGGCACGUUACUGACGCUCAUACACGACAGCAUGGGGAGCGAACGGG